rnacentral:rRNA from 1 species
GACGAACGCUGGCGGCGUGCUUAACACAUGCAAGUCGAACGAUGAAGCCGGAGCUUGCUCUGGUGAAUUAGUGGCGAACGGGUGAGUAACACGUGAGUAACCUGCCCUUGACUCUGGGAUAACUGCUAGAAAUGGUAGCUAAUACCGGAUACGACCCUCGGAGGCAUCUCCAGGGGGUGGAAAGAAUUUCGGUCAAGGAUGGACUCGCGGCCUAUCAGCUAGUUGGUGAGGGAACGGCUCACCAAGGCGACGACGGGUAGCCGGCCUGAGAGGGUGACCGGCCACACUGGGACUGAGACACGGCCCAGACUCCUACGGGAGGCAGCAGUGGGGAAUAUUGCACAAUGGGCGCAGGCCUGAUGCAGCAACGCCGCGUGAGGGAUGACGGCCUUCGGGUUGUAAACCUCUUUUAGUAGGGAAGAAGCGAAAGUGACGGUACCUGCAGAAAAAGCACCGGCUAACUACGUGCCAGCCGCCGCGGUAA